rnacentral:rRNA from 1 species
GAUUCAAGCCAUGCAUGUCUAAGUACACACCUUCACAUGGUGAGACUGCGAAAGGCUCAUUAAAUCAGCUAUGGUUUCUUAGAUCAUUGCAACAUUACAUGGAUAACUGUGGUAAUUCUAGAGCUAAUACAUGAAACAAAGCCUUGACCUCACGGGAAAGGCCAUUUAUUAGACUCAAACCCUAUCCGCGCUGCUCGUGUUUUGGUGACUCUGGAUACUUUGUGCAGAUCGUAUGACCUUCGUCGACGACGUAUCUUUCAAAUGUCUGACCUAUCAACUGUCGACGGUAGGUGAUAUGCCUACCAUGGUGAUAACGGGUAACGGGGAAUCAGGGUUCGAUUCCGGAGAGGGAGCCUGAGAAACGGCUACCACAUCUAAGGAAGGCAGCAGGCGCGCAAAUUACCCACUCUCGACACGGGAGGUAGUGACGAAAAAUAACGAUGCGGGUCUUUUAUGAGGCCCCGCAAUUGGAAUGAGUACACUUUAAAUCCUUUAACAAGGAUCAAUUGGAGGGCAAGUCUGGUGCCAGCAGCCGCGGUAAUUCCAGCUUCAAUAGCGUAUAUUAAAGUUGUUGCAGUUAAAAAGCUCGUAGUUGGAUCUCAGGAGUUGAGAGAAUGGUUCGCCUUUUCAGGUGUUACUGUUCUUUCUUCCUAUCUAGUCGGAGUCCGUCUUGGUGCUCUUACUGAGCGCCUUGAUAGCCCGACAUGUUUACUUUGAACAAAUUAGAGUGCUCAAAGCAAGCUCUGACGCUUGUAUAGUCUUGCAUGGAAUAAUGGAAUAGGACUUUAGUUCUAUUUUGUUGGUUUACGGAAUCUAAAGUAAUGAUUAAAAGGGACAGGCGGGGGCAUUCGUAUUGUGGCGGGAGAGGUGAAAUUCGGAGUCGCCGCAAGCGUACCUAACUGCGAAAGCAUUUGCCAAGUAUGUUUCGUUAAUCAAGAACGAAAGUCAGAGGUUCGAAGACGAUUAGAUACCGUCCUAGUUCUGACCAUAAACGAUACCAACUGGUCAUCCGAGGCUGAUUGCUUGUUCGAUCCCUCGGGCGACCUCCGGGAAACCAAAGUCUAUGGGUUCCGGGGGAAGUAUGGUUGCAAAGCUGAAACUUAAAGGAAUUGACGGAAGGGCACCACCAGGAGUGGAGCCUGCGGCUUAAUUUGACUCAACACGGGAAAUCUCACCCGGUCCGGACACUGUGAGGAUUGACAGAUUGAUAGCUCUUUCUUGAUUCAGUGGGUGGUGGUGCAUGGCCGUUCUUAGUUGGUGGAGCGAUUUGUCUGGUUAAUUCCGAUAACGAACGAGACUCUAGCCUGCUAAAUAGUACACCGGUCAAAUUAGCCGGUGCAUACUUCUUAGAGGGACAAGCGGCGCUUAGUCGCACGAAAUUGAGCAAUAACAGGUCUGUGAUGCCCUUAGAUGUCCGGGGGCCGCGCGCGCUACAAUGACAAGAGGCAACUAGUGUUUCCUGACUGCGAAAGGGUUGGGUAACCUGGUAAAUUCUUAUCAUGACAGGGAUUGGGCUUUGCAAUUAUCGCCCAUGAACGAGGAAUUCCCAGUAAGCACAAGUCAUAAGCUUGUGCUGAUUACGUCCCUGCCCUUUGUACACACGCCCGUCGCUACUACUGAUUGAAUGGUUUAGUGAGGUCCUCGGAUUGGCUUCCGGCUGGCUGGCGGCAACGCUAAUCGGAUUAUCGA